rnacentral:rRNA from 1 species
UAGUUCAGCACUAAGUCACUUUGUCUUAAUGGCAAAUGUGAGAUGCAGUGUAUGGAAUGUCAAAUUUCUAGUAUGAGAAAUUAACGAUUUAAGUCCUUCUUAAAUGAGGCCAUUUACCCAAAGAGGGUGCCAGGCCCGUAUAACGUUAAUGAUUACUAGAUGGCAUUUCCAAAGAGUCGUGUUGCUUGAUAGUGCAGCACUAAGUGGGUGGUAAACUCCAUCUAAAACUAAAUAUAACCAUGAGACCGAUAGUAAACAAGUACCGUGAGGGAAAGUUGAAAAGAACUCUGAAUAGAGAGUUAAAUAGUACGUGAAACUGCUUAGAGGUUAAGCCCGAUGAACCUGAAUAUCCAUUAUAGAAAAUUCAUCAUUAUGAUUUUAAUAUUUAUAAUAUUAUAAUAAUGGUGUGCAUUUUUUCUAUAAAAGGACAUUGUAAUCUAUUAACAUCAAAUAUUUAUCAAAAGAUCAAUUGCAAAAGUUUAUUCAAAUUAUUUUGCUUGCAAUUUAACAUAGAAUAAAUGCUUUUGAUUUGAUAAAGUGUUGAUAGAUUUAUUAUAUAUAGUGCUUGAAUAUUUAUAUUCUAUAAUAGCAUAUUAAUCAUUGAUUUUUAUGUUUAUUAUAUGCACUUAUAUGAUUAACAAUGCGAAAGAUUCAGGAUACCUUCGGGACCCGUCUUGAAACACGGACCAAGGAGUCUAACAUAUUUGCAAGUUAUUGGGAAUAAAAACCUAAUAGCGAAAUUAACAUAACUUAUUUAAUGGGAUUAAUUUUUAGCCUAUUUAUAGUCUAUUAAUUCAAUCCCGGGGCGUUCUAUACAGUUAUGUAUAAUAAUAUUUAUAUUAUUUAUACCUCUAACUAGAGCGUACCUUGAGCAUAUAUGCUGUGACCCGAAAGAUGGUGAACUAUACUUGAUCAGGUUGAAGUCAGGGGAAACCCUGAUGGAAGACCGAAA